rfam:Oryza meridionalis cultivar OR44 (W2112) chromosome 1, whole genome shotgun sequence.
UUUCAAACCCUGAAUUUUCAUGUCCAACAUUUAACCGUCUAUCUUAUUUAAAAAAAUUAUAUAAAAAAUUAAAAAGGCAAGUCACGCAUAAAAUAUCAAUCAUAUUUUAUCAUCUAACAACAAUGAAAAUACUAAUUAUAAAAAAAUUUCAUAUAAGUCAGACAGUCAAACUUUGAACACAGAAACCUAUGGUUUGUCUUUUU